UACGGAAGGCAGCAGUGGGGAAUAUUGCACAAUGGGCGCAAGCCUGAUGCAGCCAUGCCGCGUGUAUGAAGAAGGCCUUCGGGUUGUAAAGUACUUUCAGUCGUGAGGAGGGUGUUAAGGUUAAUAACCUUAGCAAUUGACGUUAGCGACAGAAGAAGCACCGGCUAACUCCGUGCCAGCAGCCGCGGUAAUACGGAGGGUGCGAGCGUUAAUCGGAAUUACUGGGCGUAAAGGGCACGCAGGCGGUUAAUUAAGUUGGAUGUGAAAUCCCCGGGCUUAACCUGGGAAUGGCAUUCAAGACUGGUUAGCUAGAGUCUUGUAGAGGGGGUAGAAUUCCAUGUGUAGCGGUGAAAUGCGUAGAGAUGUGGAGGAAUACCGGUGGCGAAGGCGGCCCCUGGACAAAGACUGACGCUCAUGUGCGAAAGCGUGGGGAGCGAAACAGGGAUUAGAUA
rnacentral:rRNA from 1 species